rnacentral:rRNA from 1 species
GUCUACGGCCAUGCUACCCUGAACAAGCCCGAUCCCGUCUGAUCUCUGAAGCUAAGGAAGGUCAGGCCUAGUUAGCACUUGGAUGGGAGAUCACCUAGGAAGACCAAGUGCUGUAGGCA